UUCCCCACGAUGUCCAGUGACAGGCAGAGGUCAGACGAUGAGAGCCCCAGUACCAGCAGCGGCAGCUCAGAUGCUGACCAGAGGGAUCCCCCAGCACCUGAACCUGAGGAGCAGGAGGAAAGGAAACCCUCUGCCACCCAACAGAAGAAGAACACCAAACUCUCCAGCAAAACUACUGCUAAGCUAUCUACUAGUGCUAAAAGAAUCCAGAAGGAGCUAGCUGAAAUAACUCUUGAUCCUCCUCCUAACUGCAGUGCCGGCCCUAAAGGAGAUAACAUUUAUGAAUGGAGAUCAACUAUACUUGGACCUCCGGGUUCUGUAUAUGAGGGGGGCGUUUUUUUCCUGGAUAUCACAUUUUCAUCUGACUAUCCAUUCAAGCCACCAAAGGUUACUUUCCGCACCAGAAUUUAUCACUGCAACAUCAACAGUCAGGGAGUCAUCUGUCUGGAUAUCCUAAAGGACAACUGGAGCCCUGCUUUGACUAUUUCAAAGGUCCUGCUGUCUAUUUGUUCUCUCUUGACAGACUGCAACCCGGCUGAUCCUCUGGUUGGAAGCAUAGCCACUCAGUAUCUGACCAACAGAGCAGAACAUGACAGGAUAGCCAGACAGUGGACCAAGAGAUAUGCAACAUAAAUGACAAACUACUUGUGCAGUGUGAAGGUGCGGAAGGCAACUUUACAGUGUGCAACAAAUCUUUAUAGCCUUUACAAUACGGACUUCUGUGUAUAUGUUAUACUGAUUCUACUCUGCUUUUAUCCUUUUGAAGACUGGGAUAUUGCCUCCCAAAAAGAUUCCUGAAGGUGGCUUGAAGAACUGCGUAUCCCAAAUAUCUCAACCUAGAAGCCAGUCUCUCUUGAUAGCUACAAGAUAGCUUUAGACUUCAGGUUAUAAAGUGCAAAAGGGAAUGAGAAACAGGGGAUCUGGCAGGUGAAUACACCUAAGUUGGGUAACAGACUAAUGCCAGGAAAUGAAGUGCUGGAAAUCACUGCUGAUGGUGACCAGAGUUUCUCAUUGUGUCGUUGAACAUGUGAGAAAUAGCACAGAUUGGCAAAGCAACAAGGGGCUAUCGCAUCCGGGCUGGACAUCCACGGUCUGCUCACUGCUGUCCAGUAGUGCACUGCUGUGCUGCGCAGUGCUCGUACACCGCUCCGGUGACUUUCCAUUGAAGAGCAAACUAUGUAUUUCAUGUGUUAAUUAUGUUGCCUACAGAAUUUACAGAUAUUUAUAUCAUGAAAUAAUAUGGUAUAAAAAAAAAAAGACAGGUUUUAAUUCUAAUUUUAAUGUAUUUUGUUUUUGUAUUGUACUGACAACUUAAACUACUGAGGUGUACAAGUGUGAUGCCUCAUCAGUGUUGCCCCAUCUUGCCUUCCUUGCAAUUGGAUCCUUUACACUGAAUUCUCAUCCUUUUUCUUUUCUUUCUUUCUUUUUUUUUUUUUUUUUUUUUUUUUUUUUGUUGGUUUGUCAUGAUUCUGUUCUUUUUUAAUGUAGUUUUUUUUUUUUUUGUGCGUGUGUAAAUUUUAUAUUUACUGAAGUAAAGGUUGUUUUUGUGUAAACAUUUAAACUUUAAAAAAGAAAAAAGAAAAGCUAAUUUUGUUUCUCAAGUUCUCUCUGCUAAAACAUGCAGUAGAAAGAAAUUUGUAUUGUUAAAUAAAUCAAUUAGUUGUUAAAAG